GACGAACGCUGGCGGCGUGCCUAACACAUGCAAGUCGAACGCUGAAGGAGGAGCUUGCUCUUCUGGUUGAGUUGCGAACGGGUGAGUAACGCGUAGGUAACCUGCCUGGUAGCGGGGGAUAACUCUUGGAAACGAUAGCUAAUACCGCAUAACAGUAGAUGUUGCAUGACAUUUACUUAAAAGGUGCAAUUGCAUCACUACCAGACGGACCUGCGCUGUAUUAGCUUGUUGGUGGGGUAACGGCUCACCAAGGCGACGAUACAUAGCCGACCUGAGAGGGUGAUCAGCCACCCUGGGACGGAGACACGGCCCAGACUCCUACGGGAGGCGGCAGGAGGGAAACUUCGGCAAGGGACGGAAGUCUGACCAAGCGACGCCGCGUGAGUGAAGAAGGUUGUCGGAUCGUAAAGCUCUGUUGUAAGAGAAGAACGAGUGUGAGAGUGGAAAGUUCACACUGUGACGGUAUCUUGCCAGAAAGCGACGGCUAACUACGUG
rnacentral:rRNA from 1 species